UACAGAGGUCCCAAGCGUUGUUCGGAUUCACUGGGCGUAAAGGGUGCGUAGGCGGUUGGGUAAGUCUGACGUGAAAUCUCCGGGCCUAACCCGGAAACUGCGUUGGAUACUAUCCGGCUAGAGGAAUGGAGGGGAGACUGGAAUACUUGGUGUAGCAGUGAAAUGCGUAGAUAUUGGGAAGAACACCGGUGGCGAAGGCGGCGCUCUGGACCGAGACUGACGCUGAGGCGCGAAAGCGUGGGGAGCAAACAGG
rnacentral:rRNA from 1 species